AACCUCUCACGAUGGAUAUGUGUGAUGAUACAAAGCUUGCGCUAUCGGACCUUCCGCAUAAAAUUUUCAAUCGCUAGAACAACUAUCCAAACUCAAGACCCUUGAAUUAAACGAGUUUAGCGGAUACCUAUUGGAUGAUUUUCAUGGGAGCAAGCUGUUACAAACAUUUGGCAGUGUUCGGUUGAUGGACACGAAUGCCAGUGUGUUAGAUGAUCGCGCGACACUUGCUCCUAAUCUCAGGGAGCUUGGUGGAGAGUAAACAACACCUGGAUCACCGCUGAGGAGCCGUGGCCACACGGGGCGAAAAUUUGCGCGCAAAUUUGCACAUUAAUGCCAAAAUGUUUUCGCUUCGUGUGGCAGGGGUAAAAACCCGAAAAUUUAUGCCGAAAUGUCAAACGUAUUGUUUUCAUCUGUGUUUUGGCCGCUGAAGUUGAUUUCCGAAUAAAUUUUGCAGUUUUUAACGAUAUUGUUGCUGUUGCUGUUAUAUUUAUAUUAAAAAUGCAAAAACAAUACGAAAAGAACCUACAUUUUCGUAAAUAAAGCGUUCGAUAGCGUCAAGGGUUCAGCGAAAAAGUCCGCGGACGUAUAAAAGUUUGACAGCGUGUAAGGGUUAAGCGAAACCGUUUUGGCAUUAAUUUUUUCGUUUGCGCUAGGGUUUUCGCCCCGUGUGGC